GUGCUUGCUUCGGCAGCACAUACACUAAAAUUGGAGUGAUACAGAGAUUAGCUUGGACUCUGUGCAAGGAUGACAUGCAAAUUCGUUUAAAAAAAAAAAGAAACACUAUUU
ensembl:snRNA U6 U6 spliceosomal RNA